AUGUGCAUCCCCAAGGAAAGAGGGGGUAUGGGCUUUCGCGACGUUCAUAGCUUUAAUUUGGCGCUCCUAGCAAAACAGGUCUGGAGACUUAUUGAGCAUCAUGACUCCUUGUGCGCAAGAGUGCUCCGAUCUAAAUACUACCCCACGGGAGAGUUGCUAAAUUGCAGACUGAAGAAGGGGGCCUCUUUCGUUUGGCAGAGCAUAUGGGCAGGAGCUCAAACGUUUAAGAAAGGUUGUAUUUGGAGGGUUGGUAACGGCUUAAAGUUAAAUAUAUGGGAGGACUGCUAGAUUCCUCACAGUUCCUCAAGGAAAAUUGUGAUGCCUCGAGGCAAUAGAGUGCUGACUCGUGUCAACGAACUUAUUGACCCAACGUCCGGGGAGUGGGAUGAACAACUCGUCAGAGAUAACUUCUGGCCCAUUGACGCUGAUCGGAUUUUACAGAUCCCGUUGCACCAGGAAGAUACAGAGGACUAUGUGGCAUGGCACUUGACAAAGUUGGGCAACUUUAGUGUACGCUCGGCGUACUAUAAGCAGUGGGAAGACUCGUAUGGUAGCAGAAAUCCUAGCUCUAUUUCAAACGCUUCAGGCUACCAUCCUGUUUGGAAAAAGCUAUGGAACCUAAAAGUGCCAAGUAAAGUGAAGAUCUUCGUAUGGCGGGCAUUACACAAUGCCAUCCCUUGCUUUGGCGUACUGGCAGAUCGCCAUAUCUCCACAACAGCACAAUGCCCAGUAUGUAGGAUCCAUGCGGAGGAUGUGGCACAUGCGAUUUUUGGCUGCACCAGAGCCAGGCUGAUUUGGUCACGCCUUAACCUGCAUGAAAUGAUACGAACAGCAACACUGCCU
rnacentral:rRNA from 1 species